CGUGCUGCAGGAUGGAGGUGAACUUGGAGAACAUCCUGUCCCGCGACUGCAGCAGCCGCUGCCGGGAGGACCGCGAGAGCUCCUCGAUGCGCCGCCGCCGCCGCUCCAGGAGAGAAAGAGACAAAGAUGGGUUUAUUUCACCUCCAAACCAAAUACUUAAAAGAAAAAGAUCAUCCCUGCCAUUUUCCAGUGCCAUGCAAAAAGCAGAGGAAGUCAGACUAUGACUGUGGACCCUCUGAUAAAGUCUUACCAUGAUUCUGCUGUACUGGUUGCUGUUACUACCUCUGUGCUUUGCAGGCACAGAGAGCUACAGUCCAGAUACCGUUUUGGAGCCUGCAUCAUUUCAGAAGAAAAUGUGGAUAUAAGGCACACGUACUUGAUUAGGGUGUCUAAGAGAACAUGAAGAACUUCCUGCAGUCUGGACUUUCACUUCAGAGAAGCUGAACAUUUGGAAGGUGCAUUUUUGUAUCCUAGGAUGAAAACUUGCAAGUAGAGCUGUGCCCAGUAUCUGUUGAUAUUCUGGAUUUUAUUGUGUUUAUAAUAAUCAGAUUGACAUCUAUGUUUUCAGUGACUACUUGGAUGAAAUAAAGAAUGAAGUUUUAGUGGCUCA